rnacentral:rRNA from 1 species
CCGGCGACCGGCGCACGGGUGAGUAACGCGUAUGCAACCUGCCCGUUUCAGUCGGGAUAACCCGGAGAAAUCCGGCCUAAUACCGCAUGUGGCCGAGGGGAGGCAUCUUCUUUCGGCCAAAGGAGGCGACUCCGGAGACGGAUGGGCAUGCGUGACAUUAGCUAGUUGGCGGGGUAACGGCCCACCAAGGCGACGAUGUCUAGGGGUUCUGAGAGGAAGGUCCCCCACACUGGUACUGAGACACGGACCAGACUCCUACGGAAGGCAGCAG